GCGUAUCUUCAGGGCAGGGUGAAAAUCCCUACCGGCGGUAAUAUGCAGGAAAUGCAUUAGCCCGCGAGCGAAAGCAGACAUGGUGAGAUUCCGUGGCCGACAGUACAGUCUGGAUGAAAGAAGAAUUGG
rnacentral:ncRNA from 2 species